CUCCCGGGACGGCCCUGCCACGUAGUCGCCUUUCUGCAGGACACCGAAGUCGACGUGCGCCCAUCCACACUCCUCCUGCCACGCCCCAAAGGCAAAGGCCGAGUCCUGCAGAGCCGCAAGAGUGUGCUGACGAGCCGGGCAGCGAUGGCUGGCAGGGGUCUGGUGCCGCUCCUGUGUCUGUUGUUCCUCGUCAUCGCGCUCGAGGCGUCUUCAUCAUCUUCAAGUUAUACAUCGACUCAUCGCAAUGGCCUCUCUUCUUCUUGGUCACCCUCUCUUCACUCACGAGUCAACGGAUCUACGAUAAAAAAAUACAAGAUGAAAAGAGAGUCACCCAAUGGAUCAGG